UACAGAGGUCCCAAGCGUUGUUCGGAUUCAUUGGGCGUAAAGGGUGCGUAGGUGGCGUCGUAAGUCGGGUGUGAAAUCUCGGGGCUUAACUCCGAAACUGCAUUCGAUACUGCCGUGCUUGAGGACUGGAGAGGAGACUGGAAUUUACGGUGUAGCGGUGAAAUGCGUAGAUAUCGUAAGGAAGACCAGUGGCGAAGGCGGGUCUCUGGACAGUUCCUGACGCUGAGGCACGAAGGUCAGGGGAGCAAACGGG
rnacentral:rRNA from 1 species